rnacentral:rRNA from 1 species
AGGAUGAACGCUGGCGGCGUGCCUAACACAUGCAAGUCGAACGUCCUGUCUCGCAAGAGGCAGGGAGUGGCGGACGGGUGAGUACCACGUGGGUUAUCUACCGUGAGGUGAGGAAUACCGGCGAGAAAUCGCCGACAAGACCGCAUAGCCUCGGUGCAAGCCGAGGAAAGCUUUCUCGAGAGAGGGAGCGCCACACGAGGAGCCUGCGCCCGAUUAGCUAGCUGGUGGAGUAACGGUUCACCAGGGCGACGAUCGGUAGCUGGUCUGAGAGGACGAUCAGCCACACUGGGAUUGAGAACGGCCCAGACUCCUACGGGGGGCAGCAGUGAGGAAUUUUCGUCAAUGGGGCAACCCUGAACGAGCAACGCCGCGUGCAGGAAGAAGGUUUUCGAAUCGUAAACUGCUUUUCUCGGGGAAGAGAACGGACGGUACCCGAGGAAUCAGCCCCGGCUAACUACGUGCCAGCAGCCGCGGUAA